rnacentral:misc_RNA from 1 species
AACAUUGACGACUCUAUCGA